rnacentral:rRNA from 1 species
GAUCAAGUGUCUGAAGGGCAUUUGGUGGAUGCCUUGGCAUGCACAGGCGAUGAAGGACGUGAUACGCUGCGAUAAGUCAUGGGGAGCUGCGAAUAAGCUUUGAUCCGUGAAUUUCCGAAUGGGGCAACCCACCUUCGACUACCGUUAAGUCUAAACUGCUCGCUCGCGGCAGAUCGCUUUGCGAUCGCCUGCGCGGGCGCGCCGCUAAAGCGGCGACGGCCGUUCGGCCUAUGACUGCCGUGUUCCCCUGAAGGGCGAGCGGCAGCCAGGGCCCGACCGGGCGACGGGCCUUAUGGCCCGCCCUCGCGGAGGGCCGACGGCCCGUGAGCGGUUUAGAUUAACGGUAGUCAGUGAAGGUAUCUGACUCUGAAUCCAUAGGGGUUAGAAGCGAACUCGGGGAACUGAAACAUCUCAGUACCCGAAGGAAAGGACAUCAACCGAGACUCCGUUAGUAGUGGCGAGCGAACGCGGACCAGGCCAGUGGCCUCGUAUGAGAGAAGCCGAACACGUUGGAAAGCGUGGCGAGAUUGGGUGACAGCCCCGUAGGCGCAAGGCUCUUCGAGGUCCUCGAGUAGGGCGGGACACGUGAAAUCCUGUCUGAACAUGGGGCGACCACGCUCCAAGCCUAAGUACUCGUGCAUGACCGAUAGCGAACCAGUACCGUGAGGGAAAGGUGAAAAGCACCCCGACAAGGGGAGUGAAAGAGAACCUGAAACCGAAUGCCUACAAACAGUCGAAGCCCGUGAGGGUGACGGCGUACCUUUUGUAUAAUGGGUCAGCGACUUAGUCUGGCGAGCAAGCUUAAGCCGAUAGGUGUAGGCGCAGCGAAAGCGAGUCUGAACAGGGCGUUCAGUUCGUCGGAUUAGACCCGAAACCGAGUGAUCUAGCCAUGAGCAGGCUGAAGGUGCGGUAACACGCACUGAAGGGCCGAACCCGCAUCUGUUGCAAUAGAUUGGGAUGACUUGUGGCUAGGGGUGAAAGGCCAAUCAAACUCGGAAAUAGCUGGUUCUCCGCGAAAUCUAUUUAGGUAGAGCGUCGGACUUAUUCUCCAGGGGGUAGAGCACUGGAUGGGCUAUGGGGACUCACCGUCUUACUGAUCCUAACCAAACUCCGAAUACCUGGAAGAACUAUCCGGCAGACACACGGCGGGUGCUAACGUCCGUCGUGGAGAGGGCAACAACCCUGACCACCAGCUAAGGUCCCCAAGUUAUGGCUAAGUGGGAAAGGAUGUGAAGUUUCCAAAACAACCAGGAUGUUGGCUUAGAAGCAGCCAUCAUUUAAAGAAAGCGUAACAGCUCACUGGUCUAAACAAGAGACUUUGCGCCGAAAAUGUACCGGGGCUCAAGCCAUACACCGAAGCUGUGGACUCCUUAGGGAGUGGUAGCGGAGCGUUCCGUAGGCCUGUGAAGGGAUACCCGUGAGGGAUCCUGGAGGUAUCGGAAGUGCGAAUGCUGACAUGAGUAACGAUAAAGGGAGUGAGAGACUCCCUCGCCGAAAGUCCAAGGGUUCCUGCUUAAAGUUAAUCUGAGCAGGGUUAGCCGGCCCCUAAGGCGAGGCCGAAAGGCGUAGUCGAUGGGAACCACGUUAAUAUUCGUGGGCCUGAUGGUAGUGACGGAUUGCGUGUGUCGUAUGGUCUUAACGGAUUGAUCAUGCGGCGAAGCGGUCCCAGGAAACAGCUCCAUCAUUAUAGACCGUACCCGAAACCGACACAGGUGGACUGGUAGAGAAUACCCAGGCGCUUGAGAGAACUCUGCUGAAGGAACUCGGCAAAUUGCACGCGUAACUUCGGAAGAAGCGUGACCUCAUCUUACGCAAGUAGGGUGGGGUGGCACAGACCAGGGGGUAGCGACUGUUUACCAAAAACACAGGGCUCUGCGAAGUCGCAAGACGACGUAUAGGGUCUGACGCCUGCCCGGUGCUGGAAGGUUAAGAGGAGAGGUGCAAGCUUUGAAUCGAAGCCCCAGUAAACGGCGGCCGUAACUAUAACGGUCCUAAGGUAGCGAAAUUCCUUGUCGGGUAAGUUCCGACCUGCACGAAUGGCGUAACGACUUCCCCGCUGUCUCCAGCAGAGACUCAGUGAAAUUGAAUUCCCCGUGAAGAUGCGGGGUUCCUGCGGUCAGACGGAAAGACCCCGUGCACCUUUACUAUAGCUUUACACUGGCAUUCGUGUCGGCAUGUGUAGGAUAGGUGGUAGGCUUUGAAGCGUGGGCGCCAGCUCGCGUGGAGCCAUCCUUGAAAUACCACCCUUAUCGUCAUGGAUGUCUAACCGCGGCCCGUCAUCCGGGUCCGGGACAGUGUAUGGUGGGUAGUUUGACUGGGGCGGUCGCCUCCUAAAGAGUAACGGAGGCGCGCGAUGGUGGGCUCAGACCGGUCGGAAAUCGGUCGUCGAGUGCAAUGGCAUAAGCCCGCCUGACUGCGAGACAGACAAGUCGAGCAGAGACGAAAGUCGGUCAUAGUGAUCCGGUGGUCCCGCGUGGAAGGGCCAUCGCUCAACGGAUAAAAGGUACGCCGGGGAUAACAGGCUGAUGACCCCCAAGAGUCCAUAUCGACGGGGUUGUUUGGCACCUCGAUGUCGGCUCAUCGCAUCCUGGGGCUGGAGCAGGUCCCAAGGGUUUGGCUGUUCGCCAAUUAAAGCGGUACGUGAGCUGGGUUCAGAACGUCGUGAGACAGUUCGGUCCCUAUCUGCCGUGGGUGUAGGAGUAUUGACAGGAUCUGACCCUAGUACGAGAGGACCGGGUUGGACGUACCUCUGGUGGACCUGUUGUGGCGCCAGCCGCAGUGCAGGGUAGCUAUGUACGGUCGGGAUAACCGCUGAAGGCAUCUAAGCGGGAAACCCACCUGAAAACGAGUGCUCCCUAUCAGAGCCGUGGUAGACGACCACGUCGAUAGGCCGGGUGUGGAAGCGUGGCAACACGUGAAGCUUACCGGUACUAAUCGCUCGAUCGGCUUGAUCGUUCUCAUU